UUACUUUGACUGGGACUGGAUUGACUUCUUAACAAUUUUUUCUAGGAGUGAGGGAAGGAGGUUUUGAGGUCAGGGUCCCCAGCUCGAUGAACUUGAUUUCCUCUUCAUCAGCUAUUAGUCAUUAGCUGACCAUGAUCCUUGUCUGAUGUCGUAAUCCUUCAGGAAGUUAAUCCACAUAAGAAUUUAUUCCCUUCAGGAAAUAAAUGCA